UGCUGGCCGUGGUCGGGGCGGCGAUCACCGCGGUCGUGGCGCGGAAGCUGCCGGAGACCCUGCCGCCGGGGCGGCGGC
rnacentral:tRNA from 1 species